rnacentral:rRNA from 1 species
AGGGAUCAUUACAAGAACGCCCGGGCUUCGGCCUGGUUAUUCAUAACCCUUUGUUGUCCGACUCUGUUGCCUCCGGGGCGACCCUGCCUUCGGGCGGGGGCUCCGGGUGGACACUUCAAACUCUUGCGUAACUUUGCAGUCUGAGUAAACUUAAUUAAUAAAUUAAAACUUUUAACAACGGAUCUCUUGGUUCUGGCAUCGAUGAAGAACGCAGCGAAAUGCGAUAAGUAAUGUGAAUUGCAGAAUUCAGUGAAUCAUCGAAUCUUUGAACGCACAUUGCGCCCCCUGGUAUUCCGGGGGGCAUGCCUGUUCGAGCGUCAUUUCACCACUCAAGCCUCGCUUGGUAUUGGGCAACGCGGUCCGCCGCGUGCCUCAAAUCGUCCGGCUGGGUCUUCUGUCCCCUAAGCGUUGUGGAAACUAUUCGCUAAAGGGUGUUCGGGAGGCUACGCCGUAAAACAACCCCAUUUCUAAGGUUGACCUCGGAUCAGGUAGGGAUACCCGCUGAACUUAAGCAUAUCAAUAAGCGGAGGAAAAGAAACCAACAGGGAUUGCUCUAGUAACGGCGAGUGAAGCAGCAAUAGCUCAAAUUUGAAAUCUGGCGUCUUCGACGUCCGAGUUGUAAUUUGUAGAGGAUGCUUCUGAGUGGCCACCGACCUAAGUUCCUUGGAACAGGACGUCAUAGAGGGUGAGAAUCCCGUAUGCGGUCGGAAAGGCGCUCUAUACGUAGCUCCUUCGACGAGUCGAGUUGUUUGGGAAUGCAGCUCUAAAUGGGAGGUAAAUUUCUUCUAAAGCUAAAUAUUGGCCAGAGACCGAUAGCGCACAAGUAGAGUGAUCGAAAGAUGAAAAGCACUUUGGAAAGAGAGUUAAAAAGCACGUGAAAUUGUUAAAAGGGAAGGGAUUGCAACCAGACUUGCUCGCGGUGUUCCGCCGGUCUUCUGACCGGUCUACUCGCCGCGUUGCAGGCCAGCAUCGUCUGGUGCCGCUGGAUAAGACUUGAGGAAUGUAGCUCCCUCGGGAGUGUUAUAGCCUCUUGUGAUGCAGCGAGCGCCGGGCGAGGUCCGCGCUUCGGCUAGGAUGCUGGCGUAAUGGUCGUAAUCCGCC